rnacentral:rRNA from 1 species
UACAGAGGGUGCGAGCGUUAAUCGGAGUUACUGGGCGUAAAGCGCGCGUAGGCGGCUUUUCAAGUCGAUUGUGAAAUCCCCGGGCUUAACCUGGGAACUGCAGUCGAGACUGUCUAGCUAGAGUAUGGGAGAGGGAAGUGGAAUUUCAGGUGUAGCGGUGAAAUGCGUAGAUAUCUGAAGGAACAUCAGUGGCGAAAGCGACUUCCUGGACCAAUACUGACGCUCAUGUGCGAAAGCGUGGGGAGCAAACAGG